rnacentral:rRNA from 1 species
GGCUCAGGACUAACGCUGGCGGCGUGCCUAACACAUGCAAGUCGAACGAUUCUUGAUUAUAGCAAUAUUAUAAAGAGGAGUGGCGGACGGGUGAGUAACACGUGGGCAACCUGCCUCAUAGAGAGGAAUAGCCUUCCGAAAGGGAGAUUAAUACCUCAUAACAUUGCAGUUUCGCAUGGAACAGCAAUUAAAGGAGUAAUCCGCUAUGAGAUGGGCCCGCGGCGCAUUAGCUAGUUGGUGAGGUAACGGCUCACCAAGGCGACGAUGCGUAGCCGACCUGAGAGGGUGAUCGGCCACAUUGGGACUGAGACACGGCCCAGACUCCUACGGGAGGCAGCAGUGGGGAAUAUUGCACAAUGGGGGAAACCCUGAAUGCAGCAACGCCGCGUGAGUGAUGACGGCCUUCGGGUUGUAAAACUCUGUCUUUGGGGACGAUAAUGACGGUACCCAAGGAGGAAGCCACGGCUAACUACGUGCCAGCAGCCGC